rnacentral:rRNA from 1 species
UACGUAGGGUGCAAGCGUUGUCCGGAAUUAUUGGGCGUAAAGAGCUCGUAGGCGGUCUGUCGCGUCGGCUGUGAAAACCCGGGGCUUAACCCCGGGCCUGCAUUCGAUACGGGCAGACUCGAGUGUGGUAGGGGAGACUGGGACUCCUGGUGUAGCGGUGAAAUGCGCAGAUAUCAGGAAGAACACCGGUGGCGAAGGCGGGUCUCUGGGCCACUACUGACGCUGAGGAGCGAAAGCGUGGGGAGCGAACAGG